GAUGAACGCUGGCGGCGUGCCUAACACAUGCAAGUCGAGCGAUUCUCUUCGGAGAAGAGCGGCGGACGGGUGAGUAACGCGUGGGUAACCUGCCCUGUACACACGGAUAACAUACCGAAAGGUAUGCUAAUACGAGAUAAUAUACUUUUAUCGCAUGGUAGAAGUAUCAAAGCUCCGUCGGUACAGGAUGGACCCGCGUCUGAUUAGCUAGUUGGUAAGGUAACGGCUUACCAAGGCGACGAUCAGUAGCCGACCUGAGAGGGUGAUCGGCCACAUUGGAACUGAGACACGGUCCAAACUCCUACGGGAGGCAGCAGUGGGGAAUAUUGCACAAUGGGCGAAAGCCUGAUGCAGCAACGCCGCGUGAGCGAUGAAGGCCUUCGGGUCGUAAAGCUCUGUCCUCAAGGAAGAUAAUGACGGUACUUGAGGAGGAAGCCCCGGCUAACUACGUGCCAGCAGCCGCAGUAACAC
rnacentral:rRNA from 1 species